rnacentral:ncRNA from 1 species
GAUAGAGGCGCGGCGCUCAUGCGUACGCCGGGACAGAGGCCAGGCAGCCGUCCCGGGGGAGAGGGAACGCCGCCGAAGGUCGGGCCGCCUGCCUGGGCGUCCCCUCCUGGGCCGGGGGAGAAGAUCCCCCGGACUGUCACUGCAAGUGGAGCGCUAUCC